GACAGAGGGUGCAAACGUUGUUCGGAAUUACUGGGCGUAAAGCGCGUGUAGGCUGCCCUGCAAGUCGGAUGUGAAAUCCCUCGGCUCAACCAAGGAAGUGCAUCGAAAACUGCAGAGCUUGAGUACUUAAGAGGAUCGCGGAAUUCCCGGUGUAGAGGUGAAAUUCGUAGAUAUCGGGAGGAACACCAGUGGCGAAGGCGGCGAUCUGGGAAGAUACUGACGCUGAGGUGCGAAAGCGUGGGGAGCAAACAGG
rnacentral:rRNA from 1 species